AGAGAGACAGGAGAGGGAGGGAGAAGAACCAAGAUGGUGGACGAGAAGGACGACCCAGAUCUGUGUGGCUUUAAAUAGCCACAGGAAGAAGAGCUGGAAAGGUGGCUCAGUGGGAUUCUUGCCACCAUGAAGCACGAGGACCUGAGUUUGAUCCCUGAAACCACAAGGUAGAAGAGAGUCAACACUUAAAAUUUGUCCUCUGACCACCACAAGCAUGUGUCGGCACACACAUUUAAUCCCUGCACUCGAGAGGCAGAGGCAGGUAGAUUCCUGUGAGUUUGAGGUCAUCUGGUCUACAUAGAAAGUCCCAGGUCAUCCAGGACUACAUAGUGAGACUUCGUGAAAACAAACAAGCAAAAAACUUAACAGUUGAUCAUAGUAAAAUUAAAUGACACCUACACGGGGACUCGUUAUAUUGCUUUCAACAGUGUCUACCCGACACUAACUGCCUAGCGUUGGGCCAGAUUUCACAGGCUCAAGGUACAGCCUCCACACAAGACCCUCCCGAUGCUUUUUCCCAGCUGUAAGCUCCAGGGUUUCUUGAUCCUUCAUGACUCUGACCAACUGACUGCAGAUUCGUAGGUUCUCACUGUGUCCUCCGACUUGGUGAUGCCCGGAGUGACUCGCAUAACACGGAAAAAUGUCAUACAUACGAGAACCGUUUUACUACAAAAGAUGUGAGAGAGACGACAUGUAGAUACUUUGAGCACAGUUUCAGAGGCGUGUAUAGUCCGAGCUUCCAAGCGUUAAGGAGCUAUCGCCCACUGCUACACUGACAUGCCAUGAUCGGGCCAAGGACUUUGUUCUUGAGCCCAUGUUCAGGGGACACUGGCAUUUCAUUAUGUAGCUUGACUGGUGUAAACAUUGGGACACAUGAGAUUGGACUCAAUCUUCUCCCUGGAAGUCAGAGAUCAGCUCCCAACACAAGACUGAAAGAUGUAACCCUCUAAUCCUGUGGCUGAAAUCCUGAAUUCUCUGGUCUGGCUGGCCAGAUCCAGAGCUAGUACCUGUAGGAUGAUGUCAUUAUGCAUCGAGGUGAGUCCAGGAUAAGGUGAAGCCUCUCAUUGGAUGAGAAGGAAGGGUAGGCAGGGAAAAGUCUAGGAAGGAGAGAGGAAGAAGUGGAGGAAGAGGAGGAGGAGGAGGAGGGGAGGAGGAGCGUGGAUCAAGACAGCGUCUAUGGAGGAGGAGGAUGGUUCAGAUUUAGGUGAGCUAGAUCGAUUUUAUCUUGUCUAGGUGGUUUAUAUCUUUAUGAAUCGGCAGUGAAUUUAUUGUGUGGAUGAAUUGUGAAUUGAGAUUUUUUUUCUUUGUGGAUUGAGAAUUUAACAUGUAAUUUUUUUUAAAGAUUUAUUUUAUUUAUUUCAUGUAUACGAGUACACUGUCACUGUCCUCAGACACACCAGAAAAGGGCAUCAGGCCUCAUUACAGAUGGUUGUGAGCCACCAUGUGGUUGCUGGGAAUUGAACUCAGGACCUCUGGAAGAGCAGUCAGUGCUCUUAACCAUUGAGCCAUCUCUUCAGCCCUAACAUGUAAAUCUAAUUGCUAAAUUACAAGUUUCUGGAACUUUAAUUUUACUGGGCUAAAGAGGAUAGCACAUGGAAGAAACGGUUGAGAGGCAGUUGGAGCAUGUGGAUCUGGUUCUGUUGCCGGCUUGGAGAACGCACAGGGCCUUCAGAAUGAGAGGUGUGUGUGUGUGUGUGUUUGUGUGUG
ensembl:lncRNA